rnacentral:rRNA from 1 species
UACGAAGGGGGGCUAGCGUUGCUCGGAAUCACUGGGCGUAAAGGGUGCGUAGGCGGGUUUUUAAGUCAGGGGUGAAAUCCUGGAGCUCAACUCCAGAACUGCCUUUGAUACUGAAGAUCUUGAGUCCGGGAGAGGUGAGUGGAACUGCGAGUGUAGAGGUGAAAUUCGUAGAUAUUCGCAAGAACACCAGUGGCGAAGGCGGCUCACUGGCCCGGUACUGACGCUGAGGUGCGAAAGCGUGGGGAGCAAACGGGG